UACGUAGGGGGCUAGCGUUGUCCGGAUUUAUUGGGCGUAAAGAGCGUGUAGGCGGUUCGGUAGGUCCGUUGUGAAAACUCGAGGCUCAACCUCGAGACGCCGAUGGAAACCCUCGAACUAGAGUCCGGAAGAGGAGAGUGGAAUUCCCGGUGUAGCGGUGAAAUGCGCAGAUAUCGGGAAGAACACCCGUGGCUAAGGCGGCUCUCUAGUACGGUACUGACGCUGAGACGCGAAAGCGUGGGGAGCGAACAGG
rnacentral:rRNA from 1 species